rnacentral:rRNA from 1 species
GCGAACGCUGGCGGCAGGCUUAACACAUGCAAGUCGCGCGGGCAUCCUUGUGGUGUCAGCGGCAGACGGGUGAGUAACGCGUGGGAACGUGCCCUUCGGUUCGGAAUAACUCAGGGAAACUUGAGCUAAUACCGGAUACGUGCGAGAGCAGAAAGGUUUAUCUGCCGAAGGAUCGGCCCGCGUCUGAUUAGCUAGUUGGUGAGGUUACGGCUCACCAAGGCGACGAUCAGUAGCUGGUCUGAGAGGAUGAUCAGCCACACUGGGACUGAGACACGGCCCAGACUCCUACGGGAAGCAGCAGUGGGGAAUAUUGGACAAUGGGGGCAACCCUGAUCCAGCCAUGCCGCGUGAGUGAUGACGGCCUUAGGGUUGUAAAGCUCUUUUCUCCGGGACGAUAAUGACGGUACCGGAGGAAUAAGCCCCGGCUAACUUCGUG